UAGAGCUCAACUAAGACUUAAGAUGGCGGCGUGCGUGCUGAGGAAAAGUACUGCUGGCCUAUUAGGUGUGGAAAGCAGCCAAAGAGCAAAUCUGGGGAAAAUACAGAAGCUCGCCAACUUUUGUUUUGUGG
rnacentral:lncRNA from 1 species